GGACAAUGGGCGCAAGCCUGAUCCAGCAAUGCCGCGUGCAGGAUGAAGGCCUUCGGGUUGUAAACUGCUUUUGUACGGAACGAAAAGCCCUGGGUUAAUACCCUGGGGUCAUGACGGUACCGUAAGAAUAAGCACCGGCUAACUACGUGCCAGCAGCCGCGGUAAUACGUAGGGUGCGAGCGUUAAUCGGAAUUACUGGGCGUAAAGCGUGCGCAGGCGGUUUUGUAAGACAGAGGUGAAAUCCCCGGGCUCAACCUGGGAACUGCCUUUGUGACUGCAAGGCUAGAGUACGGCAGAGGGGGAUGGAAUUCCGCGUGUAGCAGUGAAAUGCGUAGAUAUGCGGAGGAACACCGAUGGCGAAGGCAAUCCCCUGGGCCUGUACUGACGCUCAUGCACGAAAGCGUGGGGAGCAAACAGGAUUAGAUACCCUGGUAGUCCACGCCCUAAACGAUGUCAACUGGUUGUUGGGUCUUAACUGACUCAGUAACGAAGCUAACGCGUGAAGUUGACCGCCUGGGGAGUACGGCCG
rnacentral:rRNA from 1 species